UAUAGCUCUGGAACCUUUUUUUUUACAUAUGUGAUUCCCAGAUCUGUAUCUUCAAGCCUGCCCCAUCACUCUUCCUUCAGUCCUGUCUUGUGCACUGGGACAUUGCCCUGUGGCUCUUUGCUGCUCCCUGAAACUGAAUCUGUUGAAUAUAGAGUCUCUUCUCUUGCAAAUCUUUUCCCCAUGCACAGCUUUGCAGGCCUCUGAAGGACUUCACUAGACCUGUCAUCCCAUCUAGAAGGCCAGCUUUCUUCUCUCUGUGUUCUUUAACUUUCUACUUUUUGAGUCAGGAGAGAGGCGCUAGGUGAGACCCUGGUGGAUUGAUGUUCUCUCUCUACUCCACCCACCUUCACAUUAAGCGUUCCAUUUCUGCCCAUGUAGAAAUUUACUGGUUCUCUCUUUAUAGUCUGGGCUGCACCACUUACUUUUCCCAUUAGAGCCGGCCUGCAUUGGAGUGCCGAAGUGGUUGCUUCUGAGGGCUGCUAGGUGGCCUCUGACCAGGAGGAGACUAGAAAAGGGUCCUGGCCUGGGCAUCUGGAGGCAGCUGUGGCCCCGACUUCCCCAUCAGUGGCUCACUAGGUAAGCCUAGGCUAAUGGCUGGACCUUCUCUUGCUUUGGUUGCCUUGGCAGUGGAACAGUGGGAUGAACCUGUUGUUCCUUACGGUCCACUUGAAAAUGCCAGAAUCCCAUCCUCAACCUGCUCGAGGAGCCAUCUCCUAGUUGCUGCUUUUGCACACCCCCGUGGCCCAGGUGCCAGAUUCUUCUUGGCAUCCAAUGGUGCUCCCUUUCUGCCAGGUUCCGGGCGCUGUCUGCAGUACAGGUUUAGGGGCUUGCCUGCCACUGUGAUGUGUGAGGCCGGGAAUCUGAGGUUCACACGUGCUGAGAGCUGCAGGCAUUUGUGGGGCCUGCCUGGUUGUCCCUGAGGUUUCUAGGAGAAGCAGGUGUCAGGGACUCUGGGACUAGCCAGACAGAUGGAGCCUAUUAUAUGAGGGCUACCGUGGCAAAUAGGAUAUGGCCUUGGCCGCGGAAGAGGCACAGGCCUGUGACCUUGGGGGAGUGGGAAGGAUGAUUUCAAACUUGCAAAUGUGUUGAAGCUCAAAAAUCAGACCUAACCCAGUGAGGAAAGAGACAAUCUGGCUGUUUGUCGUCGAAGUAGGACAGUGUGCAACAGGGAGAAAUGACAUUUGUCAGAGCCUUUCUCCUGGGGCUCUUGGUCUCUGUAUGCGUGGUUGGAAUUUAAACUCCACAUAUGUACUCUGAGUUUAGUUUCUUUAGACAUGAACUUUGUUUCUUCCAAGUAGGCAGGGACUAUUUGUCAAGUCUCUGCAUGCCUGUUUCUCUGUGAGGUUAUCCUCGCCCCGUCAGUGUACGAAACAGCUGUCUCUGCAGGGAGUGUGUGUCGGCAUUUUUUUUUUUUUUUAAGGAGAACCUCUCUCCAUGAGUCUGUAUUUAGCUCCCUGGAGCCGUCUGAUGAGUGGGUGGGGGCAGUAGUGGGCAGGUGUGGUGCAGUGUGGCCCCUUGUCGUAGUUGGCUUUAUCUCCCAAAUUGCUAGUGGGACAAAUUUUCCUAGGAAGCUUUUCAAGGUGGAAAGGCUGAAGUGGCUCCUGAGAGAGGUUCCAGGCUGCACACUCCCUCCCCCUCUUGCUGCUUCCUGUGGCUGUGCUGCAUGGUGCGUGAGGGGGAUGCUGGGGGGGCUCCCUGCAUCGCUGGGCUCUGGGUGCGUGAGGGGGAUGCUGGGGGGGCUCCCUGCAUCGCUGGGCUCCGGGUGCUGGGUCCUGGCUGCAGGCUAUUGGGUUGGGCUGGGCUGUCUGCACACGAGUCUGCGUUGAAAAGCCUACUCAUCUGGCAUUGCUUGCUAAACAAUUUUUAAAAGGUUAUUUUUCUCCACAUUAUUAAGAUAUUCAUGUAUUAAUACAUUAUAUUUGGAAAAUGUAAGGAGAUUUGGAAAAUGAUUAAAAAAGGAUAAAGUAGUAAACAAAAUUCACCCACAGCCCAGAGGGAAGAAAAGUAACGACUCUUAAAUUUUCUUUUUAUGAUAUAUAUGAUCCUAUGUACAUAUAUGUUGGUGUGUGUAUAUAUAUGUGUGUGUGCGUAUAUAUAACGUAUGUAUAUAUACAUUGAUUUAUACACACUCCCCCUCUGCCCCUGCUUUGUGGAUUUAGCUGUAUGGAUAGUAAUGUCUGUCUAAGGGGCUAUAGUCUAGAAUCUAGAAUAUACACUAUUUGCUUUUUUUUCUUUCAUAUCAUUGAAUCUACAGAGUUUGGUAACCUGCAUCUUUUUCCACUUAGUGUUAGUUACAUUCUGAAUAUUUUCCCAUGCUAUUAAAAAACUUGUGGAAUGUGUUUUUAAUGGCUGUGCAGUAUCUUAUUGUUCAGUUGUACCAUUAUUUAUUUAACUAGUCCCCUAUUGCCAGGCAUUUAGACCUGCUUUAUGGGGAAAGAAUCAGGACUGUGGCUUCCGUGGCCAGUGUGCGGCAGUUGCCAAACAGGUCAUGUGGUCCUGGUUCCCCAGGAUUCCCAAAGGCUCAAUUCUCUAACCAGCUGGUGCUUUCCAGGCAGCCAGUGCCCCUUGGGCCAUCAGGACCCUACAGCCUGCGAGGAAUAGUUUUAGAAAGCAGAUGAAUUUCCUAUUGUGUGUGAGUGAUUUUAAAUGAGUUUUUCUUUUCCCCUUUCUUCCCUUCUGUGCUCUGGUUGCUCCCACAGGGCAGUAAACGGCUUUGACCCCGCUCCUCCUCCUCCUGGUCUGGGCUCCUCGCGUCCAUCGUCAGCGCCGGGUAUGCUGCCUCUCAGUGUGUGAGUGCCCAGCCUCCAGGUGGGGGCUCCUGCCCUCCUCCAACAACCCAGGACACCCACGCCUCACCCCUCGGUGCCUGGGCCCAGCCCCGUGCCCCUCCGUCUGCCUCCGCACAGCUGGCAGAGGGCAGGCUGCAUGCAGUGGCGGCUACUGGGCCCUGCCCAGCCCCGGAACUCUGCGCGAUAUCAAUACUGGCUAUUUUCUCUUCUCGCCGUAGUGCCGUUGGUUUCACAUGAUUGCACUUUUGUGGGUCGCAAGGUGAUACAUACAUGUAUUACUUGGUCACUGGAUGCAGAAGUACCCAUUCAUCACACCUGCCUCAUAGACCCCACUCUGCUGUACUGAUAGGAUUUAGUUGUGUUUAGGACAUUGCAAAUCUUCUAGAAGUUCUCCCCCAAAUCAGGUCAAUGUGUGCCCUCCUGAGCUCCCUCCCACCCAGGCAUCUCCAGUGCUCAUGAUCAUGUGUCCCCCAACUCCACCCCUCACAGUUUGGGCCUGUUUCUGGCAAAGAGUCAGGAAGGUUACUGAAUUAGGGAACAUUUUCUGCACCUUCUGAUUUUACUUAAGCAGCUACCAUUCCAUGGACUUGCCUCCCAGAGCAGCACAAUGCCCGUCUGAGCCCCACGUGGCAAGAGCCUCUGGGACGGGGCACACACAGGCCCAGCCUCUGUGCUGUCUCCUCCUCCGUGCGCCUCAGACUCGGGGUGAGGGAGGCGGGCAGCCUCUCGCCAGCCUUCCCGUCCUUCAGUUCAACGACAUCUUUGGAGUGUUUUUGUUUUCUCUUCCAAGGGCCGUCCCGUUGUGUUAGGAAGGGUGAGUGGCUGGUUCCAGGGUGGGCCGGUGCCAGCUCCGGGGUGGACUGAACAGCGGCGGCUGUCCCUGUGCAUCCUUUGAUUACUCUCAUGCUGCAUUUACUGUUUACAUUUGUUUUAUUGUACAUAGGUUUGUAAACAUUAUUGCCUGAGAUAUUUGUAUAUAACUUGGGCUUUGUAGCUUUUAUUUAUUCAGAACGCAUAUGGCAUGUUAAUGACUCUGAUGGUGUCCUCCUCUGGGCAGCUGUAUAGGAUCAUCAUGUGGUUACAAAAAAUACUUCCCUCAAAAAAAGUCUUUUAAUGUGGAAACAAUAAAUUUCACAGAAAAAAAGG
rnacentral:sRNA from 1 species